rnacentral:lncRNA from 1 species
UGGAACUUAAGAUAUUUGGACAGCCCCAGCCACAAGAGAUGAAGCUUAAUUUCCCAUGUAUGGAAACCUCCCUUCUUGCCCAUUGCUGCAGAAGUCACUAUACUAAGUUUCCAAAAUAUAAUGGGAGCCUAUUCAGACAUCAAGGUCCUGGUAACUUGAAUAUGUUGGUGGUGGGAAUUCUGGACACAUCACUCAAAUGCUCGGCCAUGCAGAGCGAUCCCAAAC